GGAUUCAUAACUCAGCGGUUAGAGUGUGGGAUUGCAGAUCCCAAUGUCACUGGUUCGAAUCCGGUUGAGUCCU
rnacentral:tRNA from 1 species